rnacentral:rRNA from 1 species
UGGGAACAUACCUUUUGGUUCGGAACAACACAGGGAAACUUGUGCUAAUACCGGACAAGCCCUUACGGGGAAAGAUUUAUCGCCGAAAGAUUGGCCCGCGUCUGAUUAGCUAGUUGGUGAGGUAACGGCUCACCAAGGCGACGACGGGUAGCUGGU